rnacentral:misc_RNA from 1 species
CACACACGCGCGUUACACACCACUCCCCAGCAGCGGCAAAGCAGCCAGCGAGAGAUCGAGGCAAGGCAACCGCCAUGGCCACCGUCAGCGCCGCCGCGGCGACCUCCGUCGUUGCCCGCGCCGUCCUCGCCGGGCCACUUGGGCUGCCGCAGAUGAGGGCGAGGAGGAGCGAGAGGGUGAGGUGCAACUACUCCAAGGAGGCGGCGACACCGGCGGCGGCCGUCAAGGGAGCCGGCGCGUCGCUACUGGCGAUGGCGGCGACGGCGGCGCCCGCGAUGGCGCUCGUCGACGAGAGGAUGUCGACGGAGGGCACCGGGCUCAGCCUCGGGCUGAGCAACAACCUGCUGGGGUGGAUCCUGCUCGGGGUGUUCGGCCUCAUCUGGUCGCUCUACACCAUCUACACCUCCGACCUCGAGGAGGACGAGGAGUCCGGCGGCCUCUCGCUCUAGAGAGCCUCUCACAUGCUAAAACAUCUCUCAGAAUAGGAACAGUUUAGAUACAACACAGCCAUGUACGUUCUCC